rnacentral:rRNA from 1 species
AGAGUUUGAUCAUGGCUCAGAACGAACGCUGGCGGCGUGCCUAACACAUGCAAGUCGUACGAGAACUUCAGGCUUCGGCCUGAUUAGUAAAAGUGGCGCACGGGUGAGUAACGCGUGGGUAACCUACCCCUAAACCAGGAAUAACUACUCGAAAGGGUAGCUAAUACCGGAUAAUAUCUCUCGAUCUUCGGAUCGAAAGACCAAAGGUGGCCUCUCUGUAGAAGCUACCGUUUAGGGAUGGGCCCGCGUACCAUUAGCUUGUUGGUAGGGUAAUGGCCUACCAAGGCUGUGAUGGUUAGCUGGUCUGAGAGGAUGAUCAGCCACACUGGAACUGGAACACGGUCCAGACUCCUACGGGAGGCAGCAGUGAGGAAUCUUGCGCAAUGGGGGAAACCCUGACGCAGCAACGCCGCGUGAGUGAAGAAGGCCUUCGGGUCGUAAAGCUCUGUCAGGUGGGAAGAAACGUUUGACGCAAACAACGUCAUUCGCUGACGGUACCACCAGAGGAAGCACCGGCUAACUCCGUGCCAGCAGCCGCGGUAAUACGGAGGGUGCAAGCGUUGUUCGGAAUUACUGGGCGUAAAGGGCGUGUAGGUGGUUAACUAAGUCAGGUGUGAAAGCCCUCGGCUCAACCGGGGAAGCGCAUCUGAAACUGGUCAACUUGAGUACGGGAGAGGAGAGUGGAAUUCCUGGUGUAGAGGUGAAAUUCGCAGAUAUCAGGAGGAACACCGGUGGCGAAGGCGACUCUCUGGACCGAUACUGACACUGAGACGCGAAAGCGUGGGGAGCAAACAGGAUUAGAUACCCUAGUAGUCC